rnacentral:rRNA from 1 species
UCGAGCACGCGCGUGUGGCAUAUCAAUAAGCGGAGGAAAAGAAACUAACAAGGAUUCCCUUAGUAACGGCGAGUGAAGCGGGAAGAGCUCAAAUUUGAAAUCUUCAAGGUUUUACCUUGACGAAUUGUAGUUUAAAGAAGUGUUUUCUGCUGAAGUUUUGGUAAAAGUUCUUUGGAAUAGGACAUCAUAGAGGGUGAGAAUCCCGUAUUUGACCAUUAUUUUCAGCUGUGUGAUACACUUUCAAAGAGUCGGAUUGUUUGGGAAUGCAGUCCAAAAUGGGUGGUAAAUUUCAUCUAAAGCUAAAUAUUGGCGAGAGACCGAUAGCGAACAAGUACCGUGAGGGAAAGAUGAAAAGAACUUUGAAAAGAGAGUUAAACAGUACGUGAAAUUGUCAAAAGGGAAGCGUUUGACACCAGUGUUGUUUUUCCGAAAAUCAAUUACGAAUGUUUUGUUUUUAAGGAGUUAUGACUUCAUCGGCUUGCUCCUUUCUUUACGAAACUUUCUUAAUGCACUUUUCGGUUAACAAGUCAACAUCAAUUUCUUUUGUUGUAAAAGGGUACGAGGAAGGUGGCUUUCUUUUCGGAGAAAGUGUUUAUAGCCUUGUAGCCUCUGCAAUCGGAGAGAUUGAGGUCUGCAGCGUAGAUCCUUCGGAGUUAGAUACAGUUUGUGCUAAGUUAUAGCUUUUCAUAGACAACUUGUUGACUAUGUUAAGUCUUGUAGCUUACUCGCUUAUGCUAUUUUACCUACGCUUAGGAUGUUGAGUAGCGACAUACGCAC